CAUUCCUACAAUGGAACACUACUCUCAAUAAACAGAAAUGAACCCUUGAUACACACAACUUAGAUGUCUUCAAAGGCAAUAUGCUGAGCUAAAGCAGCUAGUCUUAAAAUGCUGUUCAUUCCCAGAUUGGCUAUGACCCCACACCAGCAAUGGCACCAAGCCAAUGAUCUCUCCAUGACAGCAUCAAGAAAAUUAACCUUUUCUGGAUUCUGUUCACUGACAGAUCCUCUUUAUAUUUGAACCUACAGGAGAUGUUUGCAAGAGCAAAGUUAAAUGAAAAUAUAUAACUUCUGGACUUUUACUUUGGCAUAUUUAAGAAUAUUGGCAUGUUCCAAAUGUCAUUAAUAAAAAAAUGUAUCUGGAUGUUACUACAUAAUAAAAUUAAGGAGUUUGAA
rnacentral:lncRNA from 10 species